UUUCAUUAAAUCCCAAUUGUCACUUUUGUCCUUUUGGUAUUUCCCCUUCAAAUGCAUGUACCCACUGUACUGUAGUUUUAUAUAAAAAUAAUAUUAAUUGUGUGUGUGUGUGUGUGUGUGCGCAGGUGGAUUCCAUUCUGUUCAGUGAGUUUAAGGUGGGGAAGGAGGAACCCACACUGGAGAGGAGUUGCUGUUUCUUGGAAUGAAUCUACAGAGAGGACAUUUACCCGUGUCUCACAUUCUGCAAGAGUGAGAUCACCUCCGUCUGCAACUUCUUCACCUACAUUCACUACAUCCACCAAGGACUGGUCAAGCAGCAGGAUGCUGUACAGAUGUUCUGGGAGGUCAUGCAGCUGUGUAAGGAGAUGUCCUGUGCUAAACUGGACUACUACAGAGAUGAACUGUGAACACUGAGCAAGGAGACCGUGUGUGAAAGAAACAUGCUCAGUGCAGGAGAGGGGGGUUCUGCAGUUCACCAAGACACAUCACAGGGACCAGGUCUUUCCUCACACCUCAACACUCCAGCACUGUGUGUGUGUGUGUGUGUGUGUGUGUGUGUGUGUGUGUGUGUGUGUGUGUGUGUGUGUGUGUGUGUGUGUGUGUGUGUGUGUGUGUGUGUGUGUGUGUGUGUGUGUGUGUGUGUGUGUGUGUAUGAGAUGAAAUCACUGAAAAGGGAAGAAAAAGGUGUUGGUCUACUGAUCAGAAGGUUGUGAGUUUGAAUCCCAGCUCCACCAAGCUGCCACUGCUGGGCCCCUGAGCAAGGCCCUCAAUCCUCAAUUACUCAGCUGUAUAAAAUGAGAUAAAAUGUCCAACUUACAAAUCGACUUAAAACAGCUUUUACUUCUGCUAAAGACAUUAGGAGUACUUCAAAUUUUACCCUGCUCAGAGAAUUAUUGGAAAGUAACAGUACUUUCACAACCCUUUUUGUAUUUUUUAAGGAAAAAAAGAUUCAAGAUUCAAGAUUCAAAGAACUUUAUCAGGUUCAUCGUGAGAGAAGUUCACACUCUGUAGCCACUGCUGAAUAUGGUUCCUGUAUUUAUGUCUGGUGUAAAUGGAGUACACAGAUAUAUAUUUUUCACAGACCAGUAGUGUCUCAGGUGCCUGAUGCCACUGAUUUAUAAUUCAGUAAUUCAGCAGAAAUUUGUUGCCAAAUCAGUUCACCGUCAGUCCACUUUGUGUUCGGAAGUCAGGGAAUUCAAGUGAAGUUUCCUUUCCCUUUGGGCUCAAGACACUUCAGUUCAUUUUUUAAGAAACUCUGAGUUUUAGCUGUGCUCCAGUGUGUCCAAGAACAUUUGAUAAAAAUGUCAAUAAACUAUCACAGCUUCACACUCCUCUCCAGAUGUGUAUGAAUCCACCUGGAGGAAGACACACACACACACUUUACUAUCCUUGUGAGGACCUUCCAUAGGACUAACCCUGAGUUCAUAUGUUUUUUGGUUAGUUUUAAAUAAAAUCUGUGUAAGAGGCAGAUCAAAAGUCCAUACAAGGUCAAAACUGUCCGAUUAACCAGUCUGGUCCCAUUCGGUUCUUCAACACCUCUCUACAGGGACAUGGUAAUGUGGACUGGGAGAUCUAGGCUAAGGCUUGUCUGCUAUAUGCAUCACGGUGUUACAUGUAUAACUCUCUCAUCCGUUAGAUUCAGGGUCUGCUCAGUUACUCUCACUAUUGCAUAUCUUACCAUUACAAACAGACUCAGUUUCAUUGUCACUUUCAUGCUGCUCUUUGCACAAUUACCCCCCCCUCCCCUUUUAAACUGUGAUUUAUAUGCUUUAUUUAUUUGCUUCUUAUAUAUCUGUAGUUUUUGUUCUUAGCAUUGCACU